UGGGGAAUUUUGGACAAUGGGCGAAAGCCUGAUCCAGCCAUGCCGCGUGAGUGAAGAAGGCCUUCGGGUUGUAAAGCUCUUUUAGUCGGAAAGAAAGAGUUGCAAUGAAUAAUUGUGAUUUAUGACGGUACCGACAGAAAAAGCACCGGCUAACUACGUGCCAGCAGCCGCGGUAAUACGUAGGGUGCGAGCGUUAAUCGGAAUUACUGGGCGUAAGGGGUGCGCAGGCGGUCUUGCAAGUCAGAUGUGAAAGCCCCGGGCUUAACCUGGGAAUUGCGUUUGAAACUACAAGGCUAGAGUGCAGCAGAGGGGAGUGGAAUUCCAUGUGUAGCAGUGAAAUGCGUAGAGAUGUGGAAGAACACCGAUGGCGAAGGCAGCUCCCUGGGUUGACACUGACGCUCAUGCACGAAAGCGUGGGGAGCAAACA
rnacentral:rRNA from 1 species